rnacentral:rRNA from 1 species
UACGUAGGGUGCAAGCGUUAUCCGGAAUUAUUGGGCGUAAAGGGCGCGUAGGCGGCCUGCUAUGUCGGACGUGAAAUCCCCGGGCUCAACCCGGGAACUGCGUCCGAAACUGGCAGGCUUGAAUCCGGGAGAGGGAUGUGGAAUUCCAGGUGUAGCGGUGAAAUGCGUAGAUAUCUGGAGGAACACCGGUGGCGAAGGCGGCAUUCUGGACUGCAACUGACACUGAAAAACGAAAGCCAGGGGAGCAAACGGG